GACAGAGGUGCCGAGCGUUAGGCGGAAUCACUGGGCUUAAAGCGUGUGUAGGCGGGCCGUUAAGUACCUUGUGAAAUCCCCCCGGCUCAACCGGGGAAGGGGCGCCGAUACGACCGUCCUGGAGGGACGUAGGGGGACCUGGAACUUCCGGUGGAGCGGUGAAAUGCGUUGAGAUCGGAAGGAACGCCCGUGGCGAAAGCGAGGUCCUGGACGUUUUCUGACACUGAGACGCGAAAGCCAGGGGAGCGAACGGG
rnacentral:rRNA from 1 species